CUCUAAGAGCAUGAUAUAAUAGGAUUCGUAGGGAAAUAUUAGAAACCGUCUCUUAACUUUUAACUAAAAAAAUAAGAACCGGCUUUUAGAUAAGAUGUUUAAGAGUCGGUUCUUAACUUUUUUAUUUAAAAGUUAAAAGAUAGUUUCUUAUAUUCCGUUAAGAACCGACUCUUAAACAUCUUAUCUAAAAGCCUUUUUAUUUUAAAGUUAAAAGAUAGUUUCUAAUCCCACUCUAUUUUUUCCUCUAAAAUAGAGUUUAGAAUAAAAAUAUUCCAAUUGUACUAUUUUUCUACUCUAUAAUAGUGUAAACCUAUUUUUUUUUCUAUAUAUAGAGUAAUUUUUCUUUUGUUCAUCAUUCUAUUUUUCAUUUUAAAAUAGAGUACCAUUGAAACAAUAUCCAACUCUAUUAUAGAGAAAAAAAUAGAGUAAACCACUGGAAAUGAUCUAAAAAACUUAAAAACUCCCAAAGAUCAAAAUAAAAAGGCUUCUUCUUAAUUUAGCCCACCAAAAGCAAAAUGAGCCACUAAUUUAUCUCCUCUCACUCCGGCUUAGCAACAGCCAACAGUUACAUGAGAUACGAAACAGUCUUAGACUUGUUUCUCGUUAGUUUUAUUUAUCUUAAGACUAUACUUGAUCCGAGUUCGUAGGACACUAGUAGCCACUAAGGAAGUUAUCUUUUUCUUCCAAAUUGGACUUCUUGAGUUCUUGUGUAAUCAACAAACGAAGAGGCUUCGAUAAAGAAGAUAGAAAACGCGUUUGACAACAGAGUUGAUGCUGAAAGAACUCUCCGGGAGAUCAAGCUUCUUUGCCACAUGAUAUUAAAAUGAAACAUAAAUGGAGCCACCAGAGAAUGAGGUUCGAAGAUGUGUAUAUUGUUCAGCAGCUGAAACUUAGCACUGAGCUUCGACUUUGAGGACACAACCUUGGAUGAACAAGAGAUCAAGGAUAUCUUAUCUUGAGAGAGUCUUUACACUUCCAGGAUAAGUGGUCUCCCACAAUAUAAGACGCUUGACCGCCAAACCAUGUGCUAUUCGAAGCUGUGAGAAAUAGGUGAAAAUGGUUAGUAGUAUUCUAGUGUGUGUUUUGUAUUGUCAGUGAAUUAUGCAGUCCGAAGAAAGUGACAAGCUUUUGCGUGUUGUAUACGUAUAUAAUAACUCGACAAACACAAAUUUUCUGACUAUUCCAUUUUCCUCAUAGAAAGUAGAAACCAUGGGAAACCGUCAUCUUUUCCAGAGCUUGCGUUUGGAUUUUAUUUUAAGUUAUAUAUAAAAACAUUUAUGAUAUAUCAUAAAAAAAUCAAAACGAUGAUACAUUUCGAGAAUUUAGAUUUUUUUUUGUUCUAAAGUGUGAAAUGGCAUUCGAACAUAUAUCUAUGUAAGACGUUUUCUCGCAUGAGCUAGCGUAUAAUAUAUCUACAAAUAAUUUCUUACCGACCAAACCAUCCAAGAUCAAGCUAAUUUGGCUAUAAUCAGCCUAAAAUAUCUACUUUCACCAAAUUCCAAAAAAACAUAUCCCAACUCAAUAAGAAAAUUCAUGUGACAGUGUGUAUACCCACCUCAUAGGUGAACUUUUGAAAUAUAAUCUACAACCUAGUGUUUUAAUUAACAGAGCUAGUGUGUUGUCAAAAAAAAAAAACAGAUCUAGUGUUGUGACGACUUGUCUACAGUUUAUGAAACUUUAACUGCACGAUUUGUACUACAAUUCCUUCCUACAAAUAUUUGGCCCAAAAACAAAAGCUGCAUAGCUGGUUUAUCAAACUUUCGUAUUCGUUCAUGCAACUAGCCGAUUUUUUAAUAUAUGCUACGUUAAACUAUGCCGGAAAGUAAUAUUCUAGCUGUGCAUACUAUUUGGUGAUUUUGUAUACAAUAUACAAAUCGAAAUUGGACCAAGCAAGUCAACAUCUUCAUAUGUAUACAUAUUUUUGGUGUGUCAAUAAACGUGAAAACAUAUCUAAACGAAACCCUAUUACUACAAAAAGCCAAACACGUCUUAGUUAUAUGAAUGCUGGCUCCAAAUAAUUAAUAAGCAUUAUCUCUGUAUAACCAUACUUUUUUAUAGAUUACAUGUUCCUUUCUUAAUUAAAUAACUUGAGCUGCCAAUCUAACUUCUAAUUUAAACUUAUCUUCUUUAAUGUUUCAAACAAAUGUAGAAAGCAACUAGACCGAAUUAACUUGCUAAUUUAAACUUAUCUUCACUCAAACGUUGAUUGAAAAUCUGAGAUAUUUACACAAUUCAAUUCAAAUUCAAAAAUGACUAGAAUUUUAAAUGCUGGACCAAUACAAUUACGGUUAGGAAGACUGAUUAAACUAAUAUCGUAUAUAUUUAUAACCACACAUGGAUUGCAGACGUAUUUGUGUUGUUGUCAUAUCAACUUAUAUGAAUGGUGUUUUGUGUACGUCUGUAUGUGUGGUAUCCAUAUGUUGUUUUGAGUAAUAUUAAACAAGAAUAAUAAUGUUAGUUUGGCUUGAAUGUUAAUUAUCUAUUUUUCACUAGAGAACAAUUACGUCAUUAUACAACACGAAGUAGAAAAGCAUGUAUAUACAUUAUAUUCCAUACAUGUUAUACUGCUGCUGCAUAUACAUAAAUGAUACGAGCAUAUAGAGCAGUACAUAUAACAUUAAAAUUUUAAAUACACACCAACAUAUGACAAUUUCCAAUUAAGAAUGGUCAUUACUCCUUAGCACUAAAUAUAACCAAAUUUCAUAUUUAUUUAUUAUUUUAUUAUCUGUAUUUUCAUCUUUAAUUUCUAAUUUCAUAAGAAGAUGCAACAAUUAGACAAGAUGCAACAAUAACCGAUUUUUGAUUAUAAUGAUAAAUGGAUACUCGUUACCGCUGCUCGACGCUCGUACGUGUUGUCUGCAACAUGCACAAUGAUCUUGUCAUGAGGAUGUUAGGUUAGAUAAACAUUAUAAGGCAACUUAUUAUGAUUUUGCAAAAUUUGGUGCACUAGGUUUGAAGCGAAAAGAUGAGUUAACUGAUUGUUUAUUUCCACAAAAGUUGUAAUUCUAUGCAUUUUAAGCAUGGACGAGACUAGUUCGCUAAUGCAUGCAUCAUCAGGGAGUCGGAAACUAAUAACGUAAUAUCAUCGUUAAGCAAAAGUCUUUUAACGUGGUAACACCAAGAAAAUUGAUCACGGGUUCCGUAUAAACAAUAGUUUGUGUGAAGUAGCAGAAUAUGACAAUUACGCCUUACGUAACGUUCGUUGGAUAUAGGUGAAAAUGCAGAGAAGCUCUAACGUAGAAUACGAUUAUUUUUAUGUUUUAGCAAAAAUAUAAUAGACAAAAGGUAAAUGCUUUCAACAAAAUGUUUGCCAGCAAAAGAUCAUCUGUCUCGUUGAUGUCUUAAAGGCCUCGAAGGUCAACAGAAUUUCAAUAUUUUACCGAGGGAGUUGUUAUUGUGGUAGCCUAACUAAAGCCUAAUUAAAUGAGAUUAAAUUAAACUGCUCUAAAGUGCUAGGAGUAACAUUAAUAUCAUGUACACGUGUCGCAUUUUCCUUUGAAUUUGGCUUUAAAUGGUUCCCUCGUAACAUAGCCAGCAGCUGAAACGCGUCGUAGUUAAUCACAGUACCGUUGGAACCAUUUAAAACAAAAAGGCCACUCUGCAUGCAUGCCUGCCUGUGUCCCAUUAAUUAGAAAAGUCCUUCUGGUGAGACUUGAACCAACCAAAAAACAAAAAAAAUAUAGUUAGGACAAACAAAGCGCGUGGAUUUAAAACGUGGG